CUUGCCCCUUCCUCUUCCCGUCCUCUUGCAUCCCUCGGUCUCUUCUGGGACUCUGAAACCUAGGCUGGAACUCCUAAUAGCCUGCCUCCACCUCCCAACGGGGAGAGGAUUGGGAUUUGAUUCCCAGCACGAACAACCACGCUGAACUCCAACUCCGGGGGAAUCUGAUACCUUCUGCUGACCUCCACAGACAUCUGCAAGCACAUGAUGCAGCAUUGGUGGUGCUUCCCCUGGAAGUCCUCUGUUGUGGAAAACUGUCCUCCAAGCCAUUACCAUCUUCAUUGGAGCAGCUGUGAUGACCCAAAAGAGACCCUCCAGAUCAGGUCUGUGGAAGUUCCCUCAUAGAAAGAGGACAUGAGGAGUGACACCAGACCCUCACCUGAGACUCCAAGCUGGAUGUUAUUCUGUCCCUGCUGUUCAUGGCACCCACAGGUGUUAGAGUAUACAAAGGGUGGGAGGUUAAUUGAAGGGAGUGGCAUCUAUACAGUUCAGUCUUGCUGGGCUGGGACAUUGGUGUGAUGUGACUAUUUUGGGGUAACCUCUAGGAGGUGGGGCCUGGCUGGUGAUGAUAGGUCACUCAGGGCAGGCCUUUAGAAGUUUAACACAGGGUCAAGACUGG